UGAACGCUGGCGGCAGGCCUAACACAUGCAAGUCGAGCGGUAGCACAGAGAGCUUGCUUCGGGUGACGAGCGGCGGACGGGUGAGUAAUGUCUGGGAAACUGCCUGAUGGAGGGGGAUAACUACUGGAAACGGUAGCUAAUACCGCAUAACGUCGCAAGACCAAAGUGGGGGACCUUCGGGCCUCAUGCCAUCAGAUGUGCCCAGAUGGGAUUAGCUAGUAGGUGGGGUAACGGCUCACCUAGGCGACGAUCCCUAGCUGGUCUGAGAGGAUGACCAGCCACACUGGAACUGAGACACGGUCCAGACUCCUACGGGAGGCAGCAGUGGGGAAUAUUGCACAAUGGGCGCAAGCCUGAUGCAGCCAUGCCGCGUGUGUGAAGAAGGCCUUCGGGUUGUAAAGCACUUUCAGYGGGGAGGAAGGCGWUAAGGUUAAUAACCUUGKCGAUUGACGUUACCCGCAGAAGAAGCACCGGCUAACUCCGUGCCAGCAGCCGCGGUAAUACGGAGGGUGCAAGCGUUAAUCGGAAUUACUGGGCGUAAAGCGCACGCAGGCGGUCUGUCAAGUCGGAUGUGAAAUCCCCGGGCUUAACCUGGGAACUGCAUUCGAAACUGGCAGGCUAGAGUCUUGUAGAGGGGGGUAGAAUUCCAGGUGUAGCGGUGAAAUGCGUAGAGAUCUGGAGGAAUACCGGUGGCGAAGGCGGCCCCCUGGACAAAGACUGACGCUCAGGUGCGAAAGCGUGGGGAGCAAACAGGAUUAGAUACCCUGGUAGUCCACGCCGUAAACGAUGUCGAUUUGGAGGUUGUGCCCUUGAGGCGUGGCUUCCGGAGCUAACGCGUUAAAUCGACCGCCUGGGGAGUACGGCCGCAAGGUUAAAACUCAAAUGAAUUGACGGGGGCCCGCACAAGCGGUGGAGCAUGUGGUUUAAUUCGAUGCAACGCGAAGAACCUUACCUGGUCUUGACAUCCACAGAACUUUCCAGAGAUGGAUUGGUGCCUUCGGGAACUGUGAGACAGGUGCUGCAUGGCUGUCGUCAGCUCGUGUUGUGAAAUGUUGGGUUAAGUCCCGCAACGAGCGCAACCCUUAUCCUUUGUUGCCAGCGGUCCGGCCGGGAACUCAAAGGAGACUGCCAGUGAUAAACUGGAGGAAGGUGGGGAUGACGUCAAGUCAUCAUGGCCCUUACGACCAGGGCUACACACGUGCUACAAUGGCAUAUACAAAGAGAAGCGACCUCGCGAGAGCAAGCGGACCUCAUAAAGUAUGUCGUAGUCCGGAUUGGAGUCUGCAACUYGACUCCAUGAAGUCGGAAUCGCUAGUAAUCGUAGAUCAGAAUGCUACGGUGAAUACGUUCCCGGGCCUUGUACACACCGCCCGUCACACCAUGGGAGUGGGUUGCAAAAGAAGUAGGUAGCUUAACCUUCGGGAGGGCGCUUACCACUUUGUGAUUCAUGA
rnacentral:rRNA from 1 species